UGGUUUCUCUUCAGAUCACAGAAGUUUUUUGCCUUUUACUAAAGAUUUCCGUGGAGAGGAACAUUAAA
rnacentral:snRNA from 1 species